AUGGGUCGGUGAGACGGUCGCGUCACUCCCCCGGGAGUGCCGAGGAACGUCCGGGCUCCACAGAGCAGGGCGGUGGGUAACACCCACCCGGAGCAAUCCGCGAGACAGUGCCACAGAAAGCAGACCGCCGGCGGCGACGUCGGUAAGGGUGAAACGGUGGUGUAAGAGACCACCAGGGGUCCGGGUGACCGGAUCCGCUCGGUAAACCUCGCCCGGAGCAAGGUCAGACAGAGGACGUCGAGGCUGCUCGCCGAGUCCUCGGGUAGACCGCUGGAGGCCGACGGCAACGUCGGUCCGAGAGAGAUGGCCGUCACCGCCGCGCGAGCGGCGGGACAGAACCCGGCGUACGGCCGGCCCAUUCGC
rfam:Curtobacterium sp. MCBA15_008 MCBA15_008_contig_20, whole genome shotgun sequence.